rnacentral:tRNA from 1 species
UAGCUCAGUUGGUUAGAGCGCCAGAUUGUGGCUCUGGAGGUCGUGAGUUCGACUCUC